UUGACCAUUUCAAUAUAAAGUAUGUACGAAAUGAGACUGGUCAUAGAAAAAGACUCCAGAGAAGUGCAGUUCCAGAACCAUAUCAGACUCAAGACGUUCAAAAUCGCUCAAGCACUUCCUCACCAGGUUCAUCAGGUACUUUUAAAGUACUGACACCGAAAAAGGUGUACAAAAAUAAACGGCUUCGCGACUGCGAACUUGAAGAGCUCGUGGAGCCGCCAGCAUUAGCAUACCAGUGCAACACGCCGAAGAGAAGACGGUUGUCAAUUACUGAAGACACGCCAAAAUGCAAAGUGUUAAAAAAGAAAUUAGUAUUGUAUCUAACAAUAACAAAAUGUAAUACCUUUUGAAUUAAAGAAGUAGUUUAAUUGAAUA